AACGAACGCUGGCGGCAGGCUUAACACAUGCAAGUCGAACGAGAUCUUCGGAUCUAGUGGCAGACGGGUGAGGAACACGUGGGAACAUCCCUUUCAGUUCGGAAUAACGUUGGGAAACUAACGCUAAUACCGGAUACGUCCUUCGGGAGAAAGAUUUAUCGCUGAAAGAUUGGCCCGCGUCUGAUUAGCUAGUUGGUGAGGUAACGGCUCACCAAGGCUACGAUCAGUAGCUGAUCUGAGAGGAUGAUCAGCCACAUUGGGACUGAGACACGGCCCAAACUCCUACGUGAGGCAGCAGUGGUGAAUAUUGGACAAUGGGCGCAAUCCUGUUCCAGCCGUGCCGCGUGAGUGAUGACGGCCUUCGGGUUGUAAAUCUCUUUUGUCCGGGAAGAUAAUGACUGUACCGGAAGAAUAAGCCCCGGCAAACUACGUGCCAGCAGCCGCCGCCGUAA
rnacentral:rRNA from 1 species